GGAUGUGAAGGCCAUCUGGCUGCCACAUCUGUCAGCCUGUUGAUCACCAGGGUUGAUUCAGUUGGUCUGGCUAACUAGGCCAGUGUCCCCUCAUGACUCCUGUGUUUGUCCAGAUGCUGCCUGCUGGGUUGAAAAGGGUGGCCUUUCCUGAGAAAGGAGGACAGUUUUUCUGUCAAAGGUAUAAAUGACCAGUUAGUAAAAUUCAAAUAUAAAACAAGUACACAAAAAGUCAACUGAAUUGCAUAAAGAUUU
rnacentral:sRNA from 1 species